ACGAACGCUGGCGGCGUGCUUAACACAUGCAAGUCGAACGAUGAAGCCGGAGCUUGCUCUGGUGGAUUAGUGGCGAACGGGUGAGUAACACGUGAGUAACCUGCCCUUGACUCUGGGAUAAGCGUUGGAAACGACGUCUAAUACCGGAUACGAGCUGGGACCGCAUGGUCACCAGCUGGAAAGAAUUUCGGUCAAGGAUGGACUCGCGGCCUAUCAGUUAGUUGGUGAGGUAACGGCUCACCAAGACGACGACGGGUAGCCGGCCUGAGAGGGUGACCGGCCACACUGGGACUGAGACACGGCCCAGACUCCUACGGGAGGCAGCAGUGGGGAAUAUUGCACAAUGGGCGCAAGCCUGAUGCAGCAACGCCGCGUGAGGGACGACGGCCUUCGGGUUGUAAACCUCUUUUAGCAGGGAAGAAGCGAAAGUGACGGUACCUGCAGAAAAAGCACCGGCUAACUACGU
rnacentral:rRNA from 1 species